GCCCGCAUAGCUCAGUCGGUAGAGCAUCAGACUUUUACGGAUAUCUUAAUUGCAUUGAAGUGAUCUGAGGGUCGCGGGUUCAAGUCCCUCUGCGGGCG
rnacentral:tRNA from 1 species